GAUUAACGCUGGCGGCGUGCAUAACACAUGCAAGUCGAACGAUGAAGCUCAUUUGAUUUCUUCGGAAUGAAAAUGGAUGGAUUAGUGGCGAACGGGUGAGUAACGCGUGGGUAACCUGCCUUACACAAGGGGAUAGCCUUUGGAAACGAAGAAUAAUACCCUAUAAAACCAUAAAAGCACAUGCAAUUAUGGUCAAAGUAUUAGCGGUGUAAGAUGGACUUGCGUCUGAUUAGCUAGUUGGUGAGAUAAAAGCCCACCAAGGCAACGAUCAGUAGCCGGCUUGAGAGAGUGUACGGCCACAUUGGGACUGAGACACGGCCCAGACUCCUACGGGAGGCAGCAGUGGGGAAUUUUGCACAAUGGGGGAAACCCUGAUGCAGCGACGCCGCGUGAUUUAGAAGGCCUUCGGGUUGUAAAAAUCUUUUGUAUAGGAAGAAAAUGACAGUACUAUACGAAUAAGGUCUGGCUAAUUACGUGCCAGCAGCCGCGGUAAUACGUAAGGACCGAGCGUUGUCCGGAAUCAUUGGGCGUAAAGGGUACGUAGGCGGCUAGAAAAGUUAGAAGUCAAAGGCUAUAGCUCAACUAUAGUAAGCUUCUAAAACUAUUUAGCUUGAGAGAUGGAAAGGGAAAGUGGAAUUCCUAGUGUAGCGGUGGAAUGCGCAGAUAUUAGGGGGAAUACCCGGGGGCGAAGGCGACUUUCUGGCCAUUUUCUGACGCUGAGGUACGAAAGCGUGGGUAGCAAACAGGAUUAGAUACCCUGGUAGUCCACGCCGUAAACGAUGAGUGUUAGGUGUCUGGAGUCAAAUCUGGGUGCCGCAGCAAACGCAUUAAACACUCCGCCUGGGGAGUACGCACGCAAGUGUGAAACUCAAAGGAAUUGACGGGGACCCGCACAAGCAGCGGAGCAUGUGGUUUAAUUCGACGCAACGCGAAGAACCUUACCAAGUCUUGACAUAUUUUAGAAGCAAUUAGAGAUAAUUGCCUAUAUCUUCGGAUAACUAAAAUACAGGUGGUGCAUGGUUGUCGUCAGCUCGUGUCGUGAGAUGUUGGGUUAAGUCCCAUAACGAGCGCAACCCCUAUUGCUAGUUACCAUCAUUAAGUUGGGGACUCUAGUAAUACUGCCGGUGACAAACCGGAGGAAGGUGGGGAUGACGUCAAAUCAUCAUGCCCUUUAUGACUUGGGCUACACACGUGCUACAAUGGCAGGUACACAGGGAAGCAAGACUGUGAAGUUAAGCAAAACUCAAAAAGCCUGUCCCAGUUCGGAUUGCACUCUGCAACUCGAGUGCAUGAAGUUGGAGUUGCUAGUAAUCGCAGAUCAGAAUGCUGCGGUGAAUGCGUUCCCGGGUCU
rnacentral:rRNA from 1 species